rnacentral:rRNA from 1 species
AAUGAACGUUGGCGGCGUGGAUUAGGCAUGCAAGUCGAGCGAGAACCCGCAAGGGGGACAGCGGCAAACGGGGUAGUAACGGGUAGGCAACGUACCCUCGGGUCGGGGAUAGCCACGGGAAACUGUGGGUAAUACCCGAUAAUCUCUGCGGUGGUAAAUACUGCAGAGCAAAGGUGUGAUUCCACCGGAGGAGCGGCCUGCUUCGUAUUAGCUUGUUGGUGAGGUAACGGCUCACCAAGGCGACGAUGCGUAGGGGGUGUGAGAGCAUGACCCCCACCACUGGGACUGAGAUACUGCCCAGACACCUACGGGUGGCUGCAGUCGAGAAUCUUCGGCAAUGGGCGCAAGCCUGACCGAGCGACGCCGCGUGUGGGAUGAAGGCCCUUGGGUUGUAAACCACUGUCAGAGGGGAUGAAAUGCGGGAGAGCUAUCUCUUCCGUUUGACAUAGCCUCAGAGGAAGCACGGGCUAAGUUCGUGCCAGCCGCCGCAGUAAAAC